AGGGUUUGAUCCUGGCUCAGGAUGAACGCUGGCGGCGUGCCUAAUACAUGUAAGUCGAACGUGCGGGGGACUUCGGUUCCCCAAAAGUGGCGCAUGGGUGAGUAACACGUAGCUGACCUACCCUUCGCAGGGGGAUAACUCGCCGAAAGGCGAGCUAAUACCGCGUACGCUCCGGGGCUUUAGAAACCCUGGAGGAAAGCGUUAUGAAGCGGCGAAGGCGGGGGCUGCGGACCAUCAGCUAGUUGGGGCGGUAAUGGCGCACCAAGGCGACGACGGUUCGGGGACCUGAGAGGGUGACCCCCCACACUGGCACUGAGAGACGGGCCAGACUCCUACGGGAGGCAGCAGUAAGGAAUAUUGCACAAUGGGCGCAAGCCUGAUGCAGCAACGCCGCGUGCCGGAUGAAGGUCUUCGGAUCGUAAACGGCUUUUCUCAGGGACGAGCAAGGACGGUACCUGAGGAAUAAGUCUCGGCUAACUACGUGCCAGCAGCCGCGGUAACACGUAGGAGACGAGCGUUAUCCGGAUUUACUGGGCGUAAAGCGCGGGUCGGUGGGGUCUUAAGUCAUGCGUGAAAGCUCUCGGCUUAACCGGGAGAGGUCGUGUGAAACUGGGAUUCUCAGAGGUAGGUAGAGGCAGAUGGAAUUCCGGGUGGAGUGGUGAAAUGCGUAGAGAUCCGGAGGAACACCAGUGGCGAAGGCGAUCUGCUAGGCCUGACCUGACACUCAGCCGCGACAGCAUGGGGAGCGAACGGGAUUAGAAACCCCGGUAGUCCAUGCCGUAAACGAUGCAUACUAGACGUUGGGGAAGCAUAGCUUCUUCAGU
rnacentral:rRNA from 1 species